UGUAUGCAAUUACAUAACUGUUUAAUAUAUGUGUUUGUUUAUAUACUUUUUUAUUUAUUUCCGCAAUAGCAGCUGUAUCAACUGCAGUACCACCAGCAACAAUAUCUGCAGGACCAUCAGAUAUAUUAUAAAAUAGUAUUUAAAAUCAGUUGUCAGCCACAUGUGGUCUAUAUGAUGCAACAUGUUUGCAAUUGUUGGCAUGUCAUUUAAAAAUAUGUAACUAAUUUUGCUUUUUAAUAUUA